UACGUAGGGGGCAAGCGUUGUCCGGAUUUAUUGGGCGUAAAGCGCGUGUAGGCGGCUGGGUCGGUCUGCUGUGAAAACUUGAGGCUCAACCUCAAGAGGUCGGUGGAAACCAUCCAGCUAGAGUCCGGAAGAGGAGAAUGGAAUUCCUGGUGUAGCGGUGAAAUGCGCAGAUAUCCGAAGGAACACCGGUGGCGAAGGCGGCUUCCUGGACCGACACUGACGCUGAGGCGCGAAAGCUAGGGGAGCAAACGGG
rnacentral:rRNA from 1 species